rnacentral:lncRNA from 10 species
UGCACGAGAAAAAUAAGCUUUGAUUUGUUUUCUUUGUUUUCUCUGUGCCUUCUGUUAAUCAGAAAGAGCCUGCCUCUCAUUAUCAAUGGAAAGUUUUACCGCGUGGUUAACCAAAGAGGAAGAAGCUGAAUUGCAGCUUGUGGAGCAGAUGCAUCAGCAACAGCAUGCCCCCAGCUACAGCCUCAAAAGCCUUUGCCUUUUUUCAAUUAAUUUGCUAAUGUGGGGAUGAGGGUACGCUUGUGUUUUUGCAGGAGAUGAACAAACUCUAUGGGUGCCCUUAAGGUGUGUACGACCAUGGAAUAGGAGACUGGAGGGACCCAUGCAACCCAACUGUGGGCCUGGUUCCCCCAGUACGAGCUGAAUGCAAAGACAGAACGAACCAGCAAUUGAAGCCUGCACAUUUUGCAAUUACCUUUCUCAAUUAAUUUAAAAACACAAAGGGAGAGAUGUUGGAGACCGCAAGAAUGAGCGUUGUGACCAACUCAGUAUACCACUGGAGGCUAUGUGAGUAAAGAGCAAACUGUUCUUACAGGUUGUUGGCAAACUGACAAACGGUGUCUGCCACCCACAAGGAAUGCUGAGGGCAGUCACGCCCCAAGCACAAGUGUUGCUUGUGAUUAGGCACAUCUGAAGCCUGUUAGCAAUAAUGUGAACCUGUGAUCAAUUAAGCAGCUGACCAAUCGUUACCUCCUCCUCCCUGCUCUUUCUACUCAAUAAAUAAAAGGGCUGUAGAAGCUCAGGGUGGCUGCCUUUGCUCACUAGAAGCAGGGAUCCCUCUUCUUCCCCUAGCCCCUUUCUUUAAACUGUUUCUUUUAAGUUUUCAUUUCUGCAUUUGUCUGCCUUCAUUCAGUCCCGUGGUAACCAUGGCAAACCGCAGUAGAUGUUGUGUUAGCAGGGAGUAAGGAGGCUAGUCAGCACAGCAGUCAGAGCUCACAUCACAUUUAUGGCACAAAACAGCAACACCACCUACCCCUCCCAUUGCCUUCUUUAGAGUAAGUUCUCUGUUCUGAAGCCUUGGCACAGGCUGACAUCCUUCUUACAUAUUUUACUGAAUUGCAGGUAGGAGCUUGGUCUUUCUCAUCCUUGUAUCUUCUUCAGCUUCAGCAAUUGUACUUCAUCUACACUUGAAUUGCCAAGUGGCAUGGAGCUAUCAUUGCCCCAACACAUAUGAGUAAUACACAAAACUAGAGAAACAAAACUAGAGAACUAUGGAGCACAUUAAACUUUUAGCUCUGCGUUUUAUACUUGUAUGUAUUCUAGCAAUUAUGGUCGUACCCCUCUAUGAAUUUACACCAGCGUGUUCUCUUCUCUGUGAGGUAGAGAAAAGUGAAAGAGAAUUAGAUGUGAUAUAAAUUAGAUCAAUAGCUUGUAUGGAGAAACAUAUUAGGGGAAUACAUUUAUAUUCAUAAGUAAUUUUAUUAUCUCAUUUUCUGGUUUCACAUACCUAUAGUUAAAUGUCUUCACUGUGAAGACAAUAUCCGUGUCUUGAAAUAAUUUUCAUGAAUUCUCUUAUUUCCCAAGUGUGAGAAGAAUUAAUUCUUCAUGAUGUCAAAAUUAGAAAAUGGUUCCAAUGGUUAGGAUUACAAAACUCUUCCAUGUCCUAAUUAAGAACAUUGUUCUCUUAUGACUGAAUUAAUUUCACCAUGAAUGCAGCAUUAAGAUUAAUCUAGUGGAGGGAAUCUUAAGUUUCUAAUAAUUUAAUAUUACUUACAUUUUACCCAUAGAACACUAUUUAAAAUAAAAUCAUUUGAAAAACAUAGAAGUUGACAAAAUAUUAACCUAAAGCAUUAAAUGUAGAAUUUCCUCCUUUAUCACUCCAAAUUUCAAUGGAUUACAUGAAAUAAGUUGUUGGAAAAAAUUUAUUAAAUAGUAUCCCCCUGAAUAUACUAAAUAUACGUAUUUUACUAGACAAGUUUGAAUUAGAGAGACAAAGCUCCUAGGAAUGAUAAUGACUAGGGGAUUUACUAUAGGGAUUCCAACUUACACAUUUGUAGGAGUUGGUUAAACUAUAUAAACCUGCUUUUUUCUACAUUAGACACUGAGACUGAAGUCAGGAAGGCAGGCCAUUGGGAAGGAAAGAUGGUGAAGUGGGGAAGGAACAGGACACAUUGGAGCACAUAAGAGUGAGCUGGAACACAUGCAGGUCUCUUGUCAGCUCCAGCUCCCAACAUCAGUGCUAUUUCUGGCUAGAUGUGAAACUGGUGCCCUUUCCUGUGAAGCUAACCACAGCACUGGCCCAAGAGUCACAGAAGAUAAAGGAAGAGACCCAAGAGGAGUUGGACGAGCAAGUCCUGCUGCUGCUGCAGACGCUGCACACACUGGUCUAGGAUUUUGAGAAACUGAAGGAGGAGAUCCAGCUGUUGCUGGAGUGACUGUCAGCUGGCCCUGCUCCACUUAGACAAGGUGAGCCAGCCCAUCAGAAACAAUGUGCCUGAUUUGCAAUGGCACCCGAUGUCUUGCAUUGUAAUUGCAUUGACCUUCCCAGUAUAAAAGGAUAUGACUGUUGCUGCUUCUCUUCCACUUUUCAAAUGUCAUCUAAAGUAUCUCUUGCAGCCCACAGGAAUUUGGAAUUAUGCUAAAAAGUGGAUUCUGAGAAUCAUGUUUGUAACUUAAAUGAGCUUACACAGUGCAUAUCACCUUGCAUAUGUCAAAAUAAAAAAUGAAAUAAAAAUCGAUACAAUCUCUUCUUCUCCCUGGAGUAAAGACAGUAUCUUUUUUCUGAAUACUAUGUGUUCAUCAGUCUUCUCAUCACAGCUUCAGUGCCUGUAUCAGAUAACAUCUUAGGAAGUCUCAUCCAGGCUACCCUUCCUCCAGACACACUGGAUAUGAUCUUAAUUGCUAGAAUAUUAAGAGAAGAUAAUAAGAUAAGAAGGGAAGCAGCAACCAUAUGAUGUGAUAAUUGUGAGUCUGGGACCUGGAAGCUUUACAAAAGAUAUUGGGUAAUAAAGACUUGGAGACUUACAUGUUUAACUUCCUUAUCCAGAGUGAUCUGAUGGGCAUAUUUAUUAUGAUGAUGGUAAAGAUAUUAAGUUCAAAUUCAACCCCCAUCUGAGAGGACUGGAAGACUGUUUAAGUUGUCAGGGUAGCCUGACAAUGAACCAGGGCUGCAUACAAACCAUUAGUGAAAACUGCAAAGAUACAUGUAACACACAGGCAAAUAUACAAAGAGAACCUUGUAUGGAGUGUAAAAGAAGCAUACGCCUACAAACUGCUGGAGGCUUUGAAAGCAAUUUACCGAGAAAGCUUUUUACAGUGGCCCACUUUGGAGCCAUCGAUAAUUAACUAAACAAAUAUUUCAGAGUGUAUCCAACUGGUUUCAGCCAAUUUCCUUAGGGAGUUGUGAUACUUUAAAUUCCAUAUAAUGAUACUGUUGGAUCAGUGUCUUCAGCUGCAGUAUGUAAGCACACAGGACUUGAUUCAUGAUCAUAUGGGUAAUAAUUUGAGAUCAAUAUUUUAAAUAAUGUAAUAGAAAACCAGCAAGGAAUCUCUCACAAGUAAUAAAUAGCGCUUGAGCCUUAGUUGUGGGUAUAUGGAGUCAUUAUGAAUUCUGCCAAGUAUAUAGAUUUAUGCUUAUACAAAUUACUGAGUGAUAAAAGACAACAUUUCUCAUAAUAGCAAUAUGGUUUCAUAACCUAUCCAAGAGCAUAGGUUUCUUCAUGUAGGACACCAAGAAACCAAAGCAUUAUUCUAACCACUUAUUCAUAAUAGGUCUGACUUUAGCAGCUGAUAUUUCUGCCUUGCAGAGACUCUGUUUUUCCCAGUCUUGAGAUGAGAUGUGAAGCUUGUCUUAUUCACACUGCGUGGCAUAUGGAAAGAAGCUCAGGCUUUAGAGGCAGAAAUACAUCUGCUCGAGGGAUCUGCUUAGUGCUAGUUUCUGCUUCUGUAAAAUGCGAAU